rnacentral:rRNA from 1 species
UACAGAGGGGGCAAGCGUUGUUCGGAAUUAUUGGGCGUAAAGGGUGCGUAGGCGGUGCGGUAAGUCUUCUGUGAAAUCUCCGGGCUCAACUCGGAGCCUGCAGGAGAAACUGCCGUGCUUGAGUAUGGGAGAGGUGAGUGGAAUUCCUGGUGUAGCGGUGAAAUGCGUAGAUAUCAGGAGGAACACCUGUGGCGAAAGCGGCUCACUGGACCAUAACUGACGCUGAGGCACGAAAGCUAGGGGAGCAAACAGG